AUGAGGGUUUUCAAUGAGAUUUCUUCCUAUAGAAUAAGGACGGAUUCAUUUGUUUUUGGAAAUAUAAAGAUAUAUUUAUGUGACAAUUCUAGCUUUAGAGAAAAUUUAUAGGCAAGUUAAAAAGUUGGGAGAAGAACUAAAGGAAGUUAAAGGAUUGCUCAAACAAUCAAGGCAUUCCUCAGGUGUUCCUAGUUUACCCAAUAAUCUACCAGUUGAACUUCCCUUAAAUUCUCAAGAAAAUUUACAAAUAUUAGAACACUAUCUAGGUGAAGAGGAAGCAUUUAAUAAUUUGGCCUUAUAUCUUUCAACACUUGGAGGUAAUGGCAUGGUAUCCUGUGUAAAUAAAAUUCUAAGACUUCUUCUAUCAGAUAUCUUAGCAACUGCUUAUAACUUUGCUGGGCAACGGAGUAAACAAGCAUUCGGAACAGCAAAACUUAAUUCUCUGGUGAUAAGAGCUAUACAAGUUACAUCCCCAUUAACAACUAAAGCAGAAAUUGAAAAUGCAGUCAAAACUUGACUGAAGCAUGCCAAGCAAAGAAUUGAUAAAAAAAGAAAGUCAUAUUGAUGAUGUUUUUUUAUGUGUCAUAUAGUGCAAUUUAUUUUGUAAGUAAACUUAUUCAUGUUAAAAAUAUUAAAACGAAAACAAAAAGAAUUUGUUGGGCCAAGACAAAAGUCUAGGCGAGCUUUAAAAGCUUCACAAGAUUUUGCUAAUACAAUAAAUGGGGAUGUUGCUAAUAAUAAUUCAUCUCAAAAUGCUAUUGUAGGACAUAUUUCUGAUAAACAGAUUGUCAUUAAAAAUGUCACAUUAAUUGCAGACAAAAAGAAUGAGCAUACUUUAUCUAAAGUCUCUACCAGUAGUUGUAGUGAUACAUCUCUCUUAAAUUCUUCACUCUCAAUUUCUAGUCAAAAUUCUUCACCUGAGGAAAAAAGUGUUCUUCCUGAACAGUUAAUUCAAUGGGCAACUUUAAAACAUAAAAUAUCUCAUUCUGCUUUGACAGAUCUUCUUCAUAUACUUUCACCCUACCAUCCUGAACUCCCUUUAAGUAGCCGUACUUUAUUGGCGACUCCUAAUUUUACCGAUAUGAACAAAUUGGAAACAGGUGACCUUUGUUAUUUUGGUAUUGAAAAUGCUCUCAAAAAAAUUGUUUUGCAUUCCCCUAUUGAUAGGCAACCUCAAAUAUGU